UACAGAGGCCACAAGCGUUAGACGGAAUCACUGGGCUUAAAGCGUGUGUAGGCGGGAUGGUAAGUACCUUGUGAAAUCCCACAGCUUAACUGUGGAAAUGCUUGGUAUACUGCCGUUCUUGAGUCACCUAGGGGCAGCUGGAACAGAUGGGUGGAGCGGUGAAAUGCAUAGAUAUCAUCUGGAACGCCAAUGGUGCAGACAAGCUGCUGGGGGUGUACUGACGCUGGAGGCACGAAAGCCAGGGGAGCAAACGGG
rnacentral:rRNA from 1 species